GCCAACAUCGUUUAGCCCUUCAACAGAAGCUUGUAAUGCAAGUUUGCCAUUCGUAUCUAGCCUAGCAUCGCGUGAACAACAAAUUUGUUUUUCGUAUUAAAUUCUUUUUUUCUAUUCAAAGUUUUUAGUCGACAAUUCCUAAAAGGACGGAGUUAAAUAACAUUGUCAUCACCUGGAUGUUUCAAGCUCGGACAAGUCUCUAUUAUUCAGUUAAGCCCUCGUGAUAAAUAUAAAAACCAGUUCUCAGUUGCUGUUUCGCGUGCUAACAAUAAGUGCUUCUAAUUUCGAGUCCGACUUCCGCGUUUUUAUUUGUCUCGAAUAAUAGCUAAUGUCGCGGAAAAAUAGGAAACCACAUUGCAUUUAGAAUUUUCAAAAGGAAAAUUUUUCGUCCUUGAUCGCGUUUUGAUUUUCCUUUUAUUUAUGUGCGUUUACUCAUGUGCGCUUGCGAUUUGCUCAGUUCUGUAACAUGUUUGUGCGGGUUUUCUCAUUUGGUUUCCAUCUCGUGCAUUGCGGGCAAAUUGAAAACUUUAGUAGUGACUCCUUACAAACCCCAGUGAACUGAGUGAUAAAAAGGACUAUCAUCGGAAAAUCGGAAAAUCGUGCGGUGCCAUUUAUGAAGGGACUGCAGAGCUAAGUACGCUUCGAUAAGGAUGUUUCAGGCGUGGACAAUUCCUAAAAGGGCGGAGUUAAAUAACAUUGUCAUCACCUGGAUGUUUCAAGCUCGGACAAGUCUCUAUUAUUCAGUUAAGCCCUCGUGAUAAAUAUAAAAACCAGUUCUCAGUUGCUGUUCCGCGUGCUAACAAUUAGUAGUUCUAAUUUCGGGUCCGACUUCCGCGUUUUUAUUUGUCUCUAAUAACAGCAAACGUCGCGGAAAAAAAGGAAAUCACAUUGUAUCUAGAAUUUUAUACGGGAAAAUUUUUCGUCCUUGAUCGCGUUUUGAUUUACCUUUUAUUUAAGUGUUUUUGCUCCUCGGAUUUGCUUAGACCUGUAACCUGUUUGCACGGUUUCAUACAUACAUAUAUUUAUUCGUUCCUCACUUGGUUUCUAUUUCGAAUUCGUGUGCGGCGGGAAUAUUUUAAUAUAUCGACGUGUGUGAAUGGUACAUAAAAGUUAGUGGUGUUCCUUAUGAAUCCCAGUGAAUUAAGUGCGGUAAUUGCGCGUGUGCAGUGUAUUGUGUACAAACUAUUGUAGGAGUAUCAUUUAUGAAGGAUCUGCAGAACUAAGUACGCUUCAAUAAGGACGAAU